rnacentral:rRNA from 1 species
UGGGGAAUAUUGGACAAUGGGGGCAACCCUGAUCCAGCGAUGCCGCGUGUGUGAAGAAGGCCUGAGGGUUGUAAAGCACUUUAGUUGUUGAGGAAGGUUGUGAGGUGAAUACCCUCAUAACUUGACGGUAAACAAAGAAUAAGCACCGGCUAACUCUGUGCCAGCAGCCGCGGUAAUACGAAGGGAGCUAGCGUUGUUCGGAAUCACUGGGCGUAAAGCGCACGUAGGCGGAUAGUUAAGUCAGGGGUGAAAUCCUGGGGCUCAACCCCAGAACUGCCUUUGAUACUGGCUGUCUCGAGGUCGAGAGAGGUGAGUGGAAUUCCUAGUGUAGAGGUGAAAUUCGUAGAUAUUAGGAAGAACACCGGUGGCGAAGGCGGCUCACUGGCUCGAUACUGACACUGAGGUGCGAAAGCGUGGGGAGCAAACAGGAUUAGAUACCCGCGUAGUCCCUGAGCGGGCUGGCAAGGCGCAU